CUUUUACAUUCUAAAGAUAUUUCAAUUCCAGUAAAAGCUUGAAAUUGUUUAGUUGGGAUCUCAAUUUCUCUCACUUUUAUAAGUGUUCGUAACAAAAUAAUUGAAAAGAUUGCAUGCAAGGCAAGGGAAUCUUGUGAUCCAAACAGUCUGAAUGCUUCUUUGAAGUGAUAGAGACUAGAGAAGUUGAAGGACACACACUCCGUCACCACCAAGCAGUUUGGGAGGAGGAAUCAAAGCCCAAACCCUAAAUGAGGUAGAUAUGAAGGUCGUAACAGGGGCUUCCUGACAAGCGUUUUGGUUUGCAAUCUAAGCUAUGAUUGAAGGUUUAUAUUUGUCAUACCUUAAUUUCCCUUCAGCCAUUUUCUUUAGGAUGCCAUAAUUUUUUGGAUAAGAUUUUCUUAUAUGUUGGCUUCAAAUGAUAUGUAGAUCAAGAAAACACAGAUCAAGCUCAAAAUACAGAUCAAACAGAGCAGAUCAAACAGAUCAUGUAGAACAAAUGCAGAUCUAAAUGGUAAAGAAUCUUUUUUGAAUUAGUGUUAGCCAAAUGUUAAAAAAAAAUUGUAAAGUAAAUAUCUAAAACAAAAGUACAACUUUUUUUUAAUAAAUACAAAUAAAGUUUAAACAUUAUAAAAAAGGUAAAUAUAAUUACAGCAAAAAAACCGUAAAAAAAACUCUGAAACUCUUGACACUUUUGUUUACAGUUCAGAUCAAAUUCGAGUAUUCGGGUUAAAAUGUUUAUGACCCCGUUUAGAAACCAAAUUUUUUUAAAGCGUAUAGGUUUGAAUAAUUAGUAUCAGAUUCAAUGAAAAUUUAAACAUUAUAUAAAAAUUUACGUCUCGUAUUUUAAACAUAUUUUUAUUUUGUAAUUCACUGAAGAAAUGAUAUGCCAUGGAUUUUACCUACUUUUAACCAUGGUUUAUAAGUGUUUUAAUGAUAUCUUGCAUAUUUGCAUUGUUUUAACAAUUCAUUCUUCUACAUUUUGAUCAUAUAGAUUAUGAUUUAGUCAUCUUUUAGUUGCAUUUUGCAUACAUGAGUCUUUAUUAGGUGAUGGAGUGUGCUAUUGAGUAGCUGGAGGUGGUAAGAGACAUUUUGUGGUGCAAAAAGGUGAAAGAUGAAUAUUGAUGAAGACCUUAAAGAUAUCUUUUUAAGUCCAUCAUUUGGGAAUAUAUGGGAAAUUGAGUUAGCUUUCUAAUGGAAGUGGUUUCAAGUCAUUUGGAGCUGUAUUGGAGAAGUUAUGAUCGAUUUACUAGAGGCAUAUCAACCCCUGGACAAGCAACCCAGGUUGACCAACUCCGGUUGCCUUACCCGGGCGGCCGUACCAUAAGCUGGACGAUGGGAUAACGUGGGUUGGACGACCCGGGUUGUCGACCAUGACUCCUACCCGGGUCGCAUACUUUCCUGGGCCGAUUUUAAGUGUUUUUAAAGGGUUUUAAAGACUUUUCAAGUGUAACCAUUAGGUUUUCCAAGGAUCCUAUAAAUACCUUGUAGCCCCCAAAGUUGAGACUUAUCUCAUGUUCUCUCUAGAAGCACUUUGCCUCAUUUUGUAAAGCUUGAUUUUUUUUUUAUCAAUC